rnacentral:rRNA from 1 species
CCUAUCAGCUUGUUGGAGAGGUAACGGCUCACCAAGGCAUCGACGGGUAGCUGGUCUGAGAGGAUGAUCAGCCACACUGGGACUGAGACACGGCCCAGACUCCUACGGGAGGCAGCAGUGGGGAAUCUUGCACAAUGGGCGAAAGCCUGAUGCAGCAACGCCGCGUGCGGGAAGAAGGCCCUAGGGUUGUAAACCGCUUUCAGUAGGGAAGAAAAUGACGGUACCUACAGAAGAAGGUGCGGCCAACUACGUGCCAGCAGCCGCGGUGACACGUAGGCACCAAGCGUUAUCCGGAUUUAUUGGGCGUAAAGAGCUCGUAGGCGGUUCAGUAAGUCGGGUGUGAAAACUCUGGGCUCAACCCAGAGACGCCACCCGAUACUGCUGUGACUUGAGUACGGUAGGGGAGCGGGGAAUUCCUGGUGUAGCGGUGAAAUGCGCAGAUAUCAGGAAGAACACCAGUGGCGAAGGCGCCGCUCUGGGCCGAAACUGACGCUGAGGAGCGAAAGCGUGGGUAGCAAACAGGAUUAGAUACCCUGGUAGUCCACGCCGUAAACGUUGGGCACUAGGUGUGGGUCUCAACCAACGAGAUCCGCGCCGUCGCUAACGCAUUAAGUGCCCCGCCUGGGGAGUACGGA